GUUAUUUCCAGAAUUGAGCUAAAUUCAACAAUCAGGGAAAUGCAAAUCAAAACCACUUUGAGCGCGCUUCCUGUCUGUCUCUGUGGCAGUCCAGAUUGAAUUGGAGAGUACAUGU